CCUANGGGGGGCAGCAGUCGGGAAUCUUGGUCAAUGGGGGAAACCCUGAACCAGCAACGCCGCGUGAGGGAUGAAGGCCCUCGGGUCGUAAACCUCUGUCGGGAGGGAAGAAAUCAUUCCGGACGAAUACUCUGGGAUGCUGACGGUACCUCCAAAGGAAGCGCCGGCUAACUCCGUGCCAGCAGCCGCGGUAAUACGGAGGGCGCGAGCGUUAUUCGGAAUCAUUGGGCGUAAAGCGCGUGUAGGCGGCUGGGUAAGUCGGGUGUGAAAGCCCGGGGCUCAACCCCGGAACUGCAUUCGAAACUACCUAGCUGGAGUCUCGGAGAGGAGGGCGGAAUUCCCGGUGUAGAGGUGAAAUUCGUAGAUAUCGGGAGGAACACCAGUGGCGAAGGCGGCCCUCUGGACGAUGACUGACGCUGAGACGCGAAAGCGUGGGUAGCAAACAGGAUUAGAUACCCCANUANUC
rnacentral:rRNA from 1 species